GACGAACGCUGGCGGCGUGCCUAAUACAUGCAAGUUGAGCGCUGAAGGUUGGUACUUGUACCAACUGGAUGAGCAGCGAACGGGGGAGUAAAGCGUGGGGAAUCUGCCUUUGAGCGGGGGACAACAUUUGGAAACGAAUGCUAAUACCGCAUAAAAACUUUAAACACAAGUUUUAAGUUUGAAAGAUGAAAUUGCAUCACUCAAAGAUGAUCCCGCGUUGUAUUAGCUAGUUGGUGAGGUAAAGGCUCACCAAGGCGAUGAUACAUAGCCGACCUGAGAGGGUGAUCGGCCACAUUGGGACUGAGACACGGCCCAAACUCCUACGGGAGGCAGCAGUAGGGAAUCUUCGGCAAUGGACGAAAGUCUGACCGAGCAACGCCGCGUGAGUGAAGAAGGUUUUCGGAUCGUAAAACUCUGUUGGUAGAGAAGAACGUUGGUGAGAGUGGAAAGCUCAUCAAGUGACGGUAACUACCCAGAAAGGGACGGCUAACUACGUG
rnacentral:rRNA from 1 species